GGUGUUUCCUAGUGAUGAAGAUGGCAGAGGUCCAUGGAGGGUUGCUGAUCCUGGAAUUGACACUAAAACUUCUGCUUUCAUUGCCCAUUUCCAUGCCACUCGCAUCUCAGAAUCCGACCGCCAAAUUUACCAGCCUGCAAAAGCCUGAUGAAAAAUUUGUCAGGACUGCUUAUUCUUCUUCUCUCUGUUUCUGCGUCUGUAGUGUCCAUAUAUGUUAUUUGUUUAAUGAUG
rnacentral:misc_RNA from 1 species